rnacentral:rRNA from 1 species
UACGUAGGGGGCAAGCGUUGUCCGGAAUCAUUGGGCGUAAAGCGCGCGUAGGCGGCUCUGUAAGUCCGUUGUGAAAGUCAAAGGCUCAACCUUUGAAAGCCGAUGGAUACCGCAGAGCUAGAGUCCGGAAGAGGCGAGUGGAAUUCCUGGUGUAGCGGUGGAAUGCGCAGAUAUCAGGAGGAACACCAAUAGCGAAGGCAGCUCGCUGGGACGGUACUGACGCUAAGGCGCGAAAGCGUGGGGAGCGAACAGG